rnacentral:rRNA from 1 species
UACGUAGGGUGCGAGCGUUGUCCGGAAUUAUUGGGCGUAAAGGGCUCGUAGGCGGUUUGUCGCGUCGGGAGUGAAAACCAGGUGCUUAACACCUGGCUUGCUUUCGAUACGGGCAGACUAGAGGUAUUCAGGGGAGAACGGAAUUCCUGGUGUAGCGGUGAAAUGCGCAGAUAUCAGGAGGAACACCGGUGGCGAAGGCGGUUCUCUGGGAAUGACCUGACGCUGAGGAGCGAAAGUGUGGGGAGCGAACGG